ACGAGCCUGACUGCGAGACUGACGGGUCGAGCAGAGACGAAAGUCGGAGUUAGUGAUCCGGUGGUAUGUGAGUGGAAAUGCCAUCGCUCAACGGAUAAAAGUUACCCUGGGGAUAACAGGCUGAUCUCCCCCAAGAGUCCACAUCGACGGGGAGGUUUGGCACCUCGAUGUCGGCUCAUCGCAUCCUGGGGCUGUAUUCGGUCCCAAGGGUUUGGCUGUUCGCCAAUUAAAGCGGUACGCGAGCUGGGUUCAGAACGUCGUGAGACAGUUCGGUCCCUAUCUGUCGUGGGCGCAGGAUAUUUGAAAGGCGCUGUCCCUAGUACGAGAGGACCGGGAUGGACGAACCUCUGGUGCACCAGUUGUCACGCCAGUGGCACAGCUGGGCAGCUAUGUUCGGAUCGGAUAAACGCUGAAAGCAUCUAAGCGUGAAGCCGGCCUUAAGAUAAGAUAUCCCACUGAGUCAAUCAGGUAAGACCCCUUGAAGACUACAAGGUUGAUAGGCACACAGUGUAAGCGGAGUGAUCCGUUCAGCUAGCGUGUACUAAUAGGUCGAGGGCUUGACCCC
rnacentral:rRNA from 1 species